rnacentral:rRNA from 1 species
UGCAUAGGGACACGCCGCGUGAGGGAGAGGCCUCUGGGCUGUAACCUCUUUUCUCAAGGAAGAAGAUCUGACGGUACUUGAGGAAUAAGCCACGGCUAAUUCCGUGCCAGCAGCCGCGGUAAUACGGGAGUGGCAAGCGUUAUCCGGAAUCAUUGGGCGUAAAGCGUCCGCAGGCGGCCUUGUAAGUCUGUCGUUAAAGCGUGGAGCUUAACUCCAUUUCAGCGAUGGAAACUACAAGGCUUGAGUGUGGUAGGGGCAGAGGGAAUUCCCGGUGUAGCGGUGAAAUGCGUAGAUAUCGGGAAGAACACCAGUGGCGAAGGCGCUCUGCUGGGCCAUAACUGACGCUCAUGGACGAAAGCCAGGGGAGCGAAAGGGAUUAGAUACCCCUGUAGUC